GACGAACCGUGCGAACGUUGUUCGGAAUCACUGGGCUUAAAGGGCGCGUAGGCGGCCGUCCAAGUCCGGGGUGAAAGCCCCCAGCUCAACCGGGGAAUGGCUGGAUAUACUGGCGGUCUUGAGCAGUCUAGGGGCAGAUGGAACAAGUGGUGGAGCGGUGAAAUGCGUAGAUAUCACUUGGAACGCCAAAGGUGAAAACAGUCUGCUGGGGACUUGCUGACGCUGAGACACGAAAGCCAGGGGAGCGAACGGG
rnacentral:rRNA from 1 species